rnacentral:rRNA from 1 species
ACUGCUCAGUAACACGUGGAUAACCUACCCAAGAGUCCGGGAUAACCCCGGGAAACUGGGGAUAAUACCGGAUAGAUCACUUCGGCUGGAAGGCGUUGUGGUUGAAACUUCCGGGGCUUUUGGAUGGGUCUGCGGCUGAUUAGGUUGUUGCCGGUGUAAUGUACCGUCAAGCCUGUAAUCAGUACGGGUUGUGGGAGCAAGAGCCCGGAGAUGGGUUCUGAGACACGAAUCCAGGCCCUACGGGGCGCAGCAGGCGCGAAAACUCUACAAUGCAGGCAACUGCGAUAGGGGAACAUCGAGUGAUCCUCAUAUUGGGGGUCUGUCCACUCGCCUAAAAAGCGGGUGUUAGCAAGGGCCGGGCAAGACCGGUGCCAGCCGCCGCGGUAAUACCGGCGGCUCGAGUGGUGGCCGAUAUUAUUGAGUCUAAAGGGUCCGUAGCCGGCUUUGCAAGUCUCUCGGGAAAUCCAGCGGCUUAACCGUUGGUCGUCCGGGGGGUACUACAUUGCUUGGGACUGGGAGAGGUAGGAGGUACUCAGGGGGUAGGAGUGAAAUCCUGUAAUCCUUUGGGGACCACCGGUGGCGAAGGCGUCCUACCAGAACAGGUCCGACGGUGAGGGACGAAAGCUAGGGGCACGAACCGGAUUAGAUACCCGGGUAGUCCUAGCCGUAAACGAUGCUCGCUAGGUGUCACAACAGUCGUGAACUGUUGUGGUGCCGUAGGGAAGCCGUGAAGCGAGCCACUUGGGAAGUACGACCGCAAGGUUGAAACUUAAAGGAAUUGGCGGGGGAGCA